rnacentral:rRNA from 1 species
AACGAACGCUGGCGGCAUGCCUAACACAUGCAAGUCGAACGAGACCUUCGGGUCUGGUGGCGCACGGGUGCGUAACGCGUGGGAACCUGCCCUUAGGUUCGGAAUAACUCCCCGAAAGGGGUGCUAAUACCGGAUAAUGUCUUCGGACCAAAGAUUUAUCGCCUUUGGAUGGGCCCGCGUCGGAUUAGCUAGUUGGUAGGGUAAAAGCCUACCAAGGCGACGAUCCAUAGCUGGUCUGAGAGGAUGAUCAGCCACACUGGGACUGAGACACGGCCCAGACUCCUACGGGAGGCAGCAGUGGGGAAUAUUGGACAAUGGGCGAAAGCCUGAUCCAGCAAUGCCGCGUGAGUGAUGAAGGCCUUAGGGUUGUAAAGCUCUUUUACCCGGGAUGAUAAUGACAGUACCGGGAGAAUAAGCUCCGGCUAACUCCGUG